rnacentral:rRNA from 1 species
GACGAACGCUGGCGGCGUGCCUAAUACAUGCAAGUUGAGCGCUGAAGGCUGGUACUUGUUCCAACUGGAUGAGCAGCGAACGGGUGAGUAACGCGUGGGGAAUCUGCCUUUGAGCGGGGGACAACAUUUGGAAACGAAUGCUAAUACCGCAUAAAAACUUUAAACACAGGGUUUAAGAGUGAAGGAUGCAAUUGCAUCACUCAAAGGGGAUCCCGCGUUGUAUUAGCUAGUUGGUGAGGUAAAGGCUCACCAAGGCGAUGAUACAUAGCCGACCGGAGAGGGUGGUCGGCCACAUUGGGAGUGUGACACGGCCCAAACUCCUACGGGAGGCAGCCGUAGGGAAUCUUCGGCCAUGGACGAAAGUCUGACCGAGCAACGCCGCGUGAGUGAAGAAGGUUUUCGGGUCGUAAAACUCGGUUGGUAGAGAAGAACGUUGGUGAGCGUGGAAAGCUCAUCAAGUGACGGUAACUACCCAGAAAGGGACGGCUAACUACGUG